rnacentral:rRNA from 1 species
CGGCUCAGUAACACGUGGACAACCUACCCUUAGGACAGGUAUAAACCCGGGAAACUGGGUAUAAUCCCUGAUAGUCCUCGACUGCUGGAAUGCAUCGAGGCCGAAAGCUCCGGCGCCUAAGGAUGGGUCUGCGGCCUAUCAGGUAGUAGUGGGUCUAAAGUACCUACUAGCCUACGACGGGUACGGGUUGUGAGAGCAAGAGCCCGGAGAUGGAUUCUGAGACACGAAUCCAGGCCCUACGGGGUGCAGCAGGCGCGAAAACUUUACAAUGCCGGCAACGGCGAUAAGGGGACCUCGAGUGCCAGGUUACAAAUCUGGCUGUCGUGAUGCCUAAAAAGCAUUGCAUAGCAAGGGCCGGGCAAGAUCGGUGCCAGCCGCCGCGGUAACACCGGCGGCUCGAGUGGUAACCGUUAUUAUUGGGUCUAAAGGGUCUGUAGCCGGCCGGAUAAGUCUCUUGGGAAAUCCAGCAGCUCAACUGUUGGGCUUCCAGGAGAUACUGUCUGGCUCGAGGCCGGGAGAGGUGAGAGGUACUUCAGGGGUAGGGGUGAAAUCUUGUAAUCCUUGAAGGACCACCAGUGGCGAAGGCGUCUCACCAGAACGGACCUGACGGCAAGGGACGAAAGCUAGGGGCACGAACCGGAUUAGAUACCCGGGUAGUCCUAGCCGUAAACGAUGCGAGCUAGGUGUCACGUGGAUUG